rnacentral:rRNA from 1 species
CGAACGCUGGCGGCAGGCCUAAUACAUGCAAGUCGAACGGCUCUUCGGAGCAGUGGCGGACGGGUGAGUAACGCGUGGGAAUGUGCCCUUUGGUACGGAACAACACAGGGAAACUUGUGCUAAUACCGUAUGUGCCCUUCGGGGGAAAGAUUUAUCGCCAUUGGAGCAGCCCGCGUUGGAUUAGGUAGUUGGUGAGGUAAAGGCUCACCAAGCCUACGAUCCAUAGCUGGUCUGAGAGGAUGACCAGCCACACUGGGACUGAGACACGGCCCAGACUCCUACGGGAGGCAGCAGUGGGGAAUCUUGGACAAUGGGCGCAAGCCUGAUCCAGCCAUGCCGCGUGAGUGAAGAAGGCCUUCGGGUUGUAAAGCUCUUUUGUCAGGGACGAUAAUGACGGUACCUGAAGAAUAAGCCCCGGCAAACUUCGUGCCAGCCGCCGCGGUAACAC